rnacentral:rRNA from 1 species
UACGAAGGGGGCUAGCGUUGUUCGGAAUUACUGGGCGUAAAGCGCACGUAGGCGGGCAUUUAAGUCAGGGGUGAAAUCCCAGAGCUCAACUCUGGAACUGCCUUUGAUACUGGGUGUCUUGAGUAUGGAAGAGGUAAGUGGAAUUCCGAGUGUAGAGGUGAAAUUCGUAGAUAUUCGGAGGAACACCAGUGGCGAAGGCGGCUUACUGGUCCAUUACUGACGCUGAGGUGCGAAAGCGUGGGGAGCAAACAGG